rnacentral:lncRNA from 1 species
GAUUUCAAGUCUUCCAACAACUCUUUUUGGGUGGGAGUAGUCAGGAGUCUGUGCUGUGGUUGAAGCCCAGGUUGGCCGUCGGGAGCUGAAAUAGAGGCCAGGACUCCUGGCUCCCCGUCCAGACUCUGAGGACCCAGGAGCCUCCAUGGGUACACUCAGAGGCCACACUAGAUGCAAAAAGAACCAUUUACAGAGAAGUGAGAGGUUCUCAAAGGCUCAACCAAAUGCCUCUGCCAGGAGAAUCUUUCAGAGUGUCCUGGAACAUUGGAAAUAGGCUUAAAGCUUAAAUGAUGAAUCAGAAGAGUUAUGCUGUAUUCUAAUGCUGCCACUAGAUUUCCAUUUGAUUUCAGUGGACUUUGAAGAUGGAUCACCUCUCUCAUUCAGAUGAAAUU